UAAAUAUUUCCGUUCAUAACUCUCAACCAAUAUUCAGGUGGGCAUUAGCAAUUAGAAAGAGUCUCUUAAAAUGAUCUCCGUUACAUGGCCAAAACUCUAGCAACUUAGACCGAAGAAUUUAGAGCACUUACAGUUAUUAAUCAAAACGUUAACAAGAGUUUCUGAAAUAUAUUACUCUUGUUUAGAGUUCAAAUUUCUUUCUCUCUUUAUCUCUUUCGAAGUAUACUAUAUAGUUCAAAAUUUUCUUAUCUGCCGCCACCGUUUCCCGGCGUUGAUUUUGGGAUGGAAACAACACCAAGUCACCGUGAACGUCACGUGGCAUUUGAAAACUCAGGUCAGGGAAAGGAACCCAACAAUACAAUUAUACCGACUUGGAAACCAAAUCAGAGGGAAGUAGAGGAGGCCAAUUUGGUCUCGCCGUUUGUUGCUUUCAUGAGAAACAAGAACAGCCAAAUUUUCAAAACGUGGGGGCUCCGUUCAUCCAAGU
rnacentral:sRNA from 1 species